GCUUAGUAGCACUAGAUAUUUUCCCGCCGCGCGCGGCCCGCCCCCGCUGCCGCCACCUCCUGCCCUGCACCGCGCCGCCCGCCCCCACCCUCCCGCCGCAGCUGUCCGAGGUAGACUGGAUCCGCGGCGAGAGGCAGGUUCUGGCAGCGGAGGGUCGAUCGAUGGGGCGACCUGCGGGUGAGCGGCGGCGGCGGGGCUGAAUCUAGUCGAUGGGGUCUACCUGGCGGAUGAGUUUGGCAGCCCGGCAGCAGUAGCGCUCCGUCCACACCCCGCGCUGGACCGGCAGCAGCGUCGCUCCCUCCAUCCUCACCCCGUGCUGGACCGGCAGCAGCAGAACGGAUGAAUUCUACCUCCUGCUCAGCCACGAAGGGCUCCACCCCAGGCCUUAAAUCGUCCCCAUCGAGAUAUGGACGGCGGCGAAGCUGCAACUCGGGUGGCGCCAUGGCUCCCUGUGCAGAGAAAACGAGACGAGGGGGAGAUCAGGGAGGAGCAGCAGGAGGAGUGAAGGAAAAAGAAGGCGGUGGAGAAGGCCUUGCUCGCCGGAGAGCUCAACUUGCAUUGACGAACUCCAAGGCGCAUGUUCUGGCAACAGAGGGCUGGAUCCGGUCGACGGGAAGACCUGUAGGCGAGCGGCAGCGACGGUUUGGGACGGUCGCGAAGCUGCAACUCGGGCAGCGCCAUGGCUCCCUAAGCAGAGAAAACGAGACGAGGGGGAGGUCAGGGAGGAGCAGCAGGACGAGUGAAGGAAAAGAAGGCGGUGGAGAAGGCGAGGAACUCCGAGGCGGCGGCGCCCGCUGUAGCAGGAGGUGGGUCGGGUGCACCGACAUGAUAGCUGUGCUUGGUGGGAACUGAUUGCGGGCAUGGGAACCGUGGAUCGACCCCCACGUACACAGGUGCUAUACAUUUUUUCGUAUGCCUCUUCUAGAUUUCGUUUUGAGCUGAUGGGUGCGAGAUGUGGCAUCAUGUCUCGGCUCUACAAAAUCCAUGGCUGAAGUGCGUGUCCCAGGGUCACAGUCUCCAUUAUUUCUUCAGUUCCUCGCUUCCCGCUUGUUUCAAGAACAAAAACAUUCAGUGAGGAAGACCAGUAACAGAUUUGGAUGUUGUAUGCACCUUCAUCUUGCAGUCCAAUUACUUGGACUGUUUGCGACAAAUUCGUUUGUUUUUAACUGUACUACAGUUAUAUAGCAGGAUAAGGAUACAUGCUUGUACUGCCUCUAUCACAAAUUGCACAUGAGUUGAUUCAUACAGCUAGCAAUCAAUCGCUCUGAAGGUAUUGCUCUUUUAUUUUACUUCACUAAUUCAUAAGAAUUAUUUUUCUCUUGCCAGCUUGAGCUUCAGCAGCGUCUUGCCUUGUAUUAUGUUGGUGUGGACAUGCUGGAGGUUGUAUGGACAAACAAUUGUGUCCAUUAUUGGUUUGAAAUUUGUUGAUUGAUUCACUUUUCUUCUCCAAAAUUGUCCGAUAAGCACACAGUUUAUAGAACUAAACACGUUGAACUCCUUUGACCUUUCCUAAUACGAACUCCCAUCUCAACACCUAGCCUACAAAAUAUGCUAGCCUACUCCCUCUGUCUCUCUGUUCUUGGACCCCCUUCUAGAUGUGCAUAUGUGUUUUCAAUGGCUUGCACAGGCGCGGCCAUGCAACUGCAGUUUACUUGUUUGAAUUAUAUAUAUCCUGUCUAUAAAUUUGUUUUGAUUGGGUUUUCUCUUAUGUAUGAGUGCACCAUCCGCCGUUUAAAUAAUUGGAUCUUCUAACUCCUUGGGAUAAUUUGCAUCUUUAUUUGUGCUAAUUGGAAAGGUGCAUGAACAAUGAUUUAUCUAUGGUUUUUUCUUACUGGAAAGGCCUUUUCAAUUUUAAAAACCUACUGAUUUGAUGAAUAGAAAAGGUCUACUGCUAUAUGGUUCCGCUCUACAUCUCUGUCCUUAAUUGGCUGAAUGUGUGCAUUAGUGAUUGAGACCAGUGCUAUAUGGUUCCACUCUACAUCCCAGAACUGAAGGUGAUGUUGAUCAAGUAUUUUGCAUCAGUCAUCAAGUACUAUUUAUUAAUUCUGUAUGUUUUUUGGUACAUGAUCUGUAAGCUCUAAACAAGUGAAUGCCUAAAAGGGUCACGAUGUUGCUUUUCCAUGCCCUUCAGUUUUUUCAGUUGAGUUGGCUACCUGAAUUUCCAUUAUGUUAAUUUCUUUCCCUGUGCAAUUUCUCACUGGUGUUCAUGUAAUUACCCUGCAGCCCUUCUUAGCAGUAAAUAGAAGUGAUAGAAGUAAACCAAGCAGGCUUCUAUUUAACUACAGUUUUACGUAGUAGCCUCUGAAUUUGUACUUAUUUAAUUGACUGUUUUGGUGUUAAGAUCCAAUAGCCCGCUGUUAGUUAAUGCUCUAUUUAUGUUUUCUUCUAAGAAAACUAAUGUAGUAUUCCAGCAAAAACAAUGACUCAUCGUCUCCGGGUCACACCACAAAAUUUGACCGGUCCUAGCAAAAAAAAAAAAGAACAGUUCUAGCAAAAAAAUCGUUGUCGUGGUCACAGGUACUAUAUGAUUCCACUAUGCGUAUUUGUAGUUUUUUGCCUGAAGGUGUGCAUUAGUGGUUGGCCUCGAUCAAAAAUUACUUUUAUUAUUCCUUCUUGGUUUUAGACAAUAACAGUAGAGAAUCUAAAACCCUCUACUGUAGCAGUACCUGUACUAGAGCAACUCUUCAGUGAAGAAACAUACAGUAAGUUUUCAUAUUAUACCAGUUAGAAGAAAUUUGGUACAGGAAUUGCAACAGUCUUGAUCAAGUAUUUUCUUUAUUCCUUCUUGGUUCAACUUUGUAAUAAUCUUGAAUAUGGUUUGAACAAUAUUACCGGAACAUUUAACUAUCUUUUUUUAUCAUUGCAGAAAAUGGAUGACAACACUAAAUUGACCAUUGUUCAGGAUUUUGAUAAACGGGCUUUAAAAAAAGAGUAUGGAGUCCAGUGUUUUGGAGCAAUCACCCGCGUCACCAAUCAUCUCAACAUGUCUCUGAAUGUUUUGAAUCGAUGGUUCCUGAGUUAGAUGAUCAGACAAAUAGUGAUCCAUUGCCAACACCCCGGUCGCCAACCAGCUCGAAAUUAUCUCUGAAUGAUGAAUUGCCCCUGAGUGAAGGAAAUAUUUCACUAGAUGAUAUCUUAGGGAACUACAUAGGUUUAGACAAUACUAAUGCUUUGCUUUCUGUACAAGAUCUCAGUUAAAAGAAUAUAUAUACUGCUUCUGAUGCAUAGCAUACCCAAAAAUCUGUUAAAUGUUGGUAAUUACCUUUGAGAGAGAUACUGUGGCUUUAAGUUAUUUUUCUAUUUAAAUUCACAUAGGCAAAGCUACAACUUUCUUUGAUCCAUGGUACUGUUGCUAUGCCAAGAUUUGAUGAUAAUUCUUAUUCUUGGAUGUUGAA